UCGAGUAGGUCUUGUGUGGUAUUUAGAGCCGUUUUUGAUUUAGUUUUUGAAUCGACGAUCCGCUCCGUUAAACUUGAUCUAGCAUAUUUAAAGUAUCUAAAAAAUAAGUUUUGUGAUUUUUUGAUAUUAUUUACCUAGCAAUUGAAAGGGUUCAAAAUCAACGGUUGAAAAUAAAAAUUUCAUAAAAAGUGGUGAUAUAGCACCAAAAUUUUCAAUCAGAGAAAUUUAUCUUGCAGUAAAUAGUAUAAAAAAUUUUCUAUCAAAAUUUUAUUUGAUUUGAAUACUUUUACAUCGUUAAACUUGCAAACGAUAUAUAUCAACCAUUAAAAUUUGUUGAUUUUGAAUCCUUUCGAUCGCUAAGUAAAUAAUAUAAAAAAAAUCGCAAAAUUUAUUUUCUAAAUACUUCAAAUAUGUUAGAUCAUGUAUAAUGGAGUCAAUCAUCGAUUCGUAAACAGCCUAGGAGCACGGAGCUGAUUGUCGAUUGUCAGCUCCCUCAUGAGUACAAAGAGACCUGUACUCAUAACAAUAUAGUAGCUGUAGCCUCU
rnacentral:lncRNA from 1 species